CAAACACCAUCUGACUGCCCUGACCAACAUAUGAAACAAAAGAAUGAUAAAUCGGAGGGUAGGAACAUAGAAGCAACAACAACCGAGGACAAAACGGCGUCCAAGAAUCAAGCGACGACCGAAAACGGCUACAGGCCAGCCCUGAUGAAGUCGACAAGCGACCAAGUAGCCUCCAAAAUGGAGAAACAAUACCACAUUCAAGUACCAGAGAGUUCACGUUGAUCUGCUCUCACACAGGGACAUUGCCAAGUCAUAAAGAAAAAGGAACGUGAAUCGAAGACUACGACGGCGCAAGACUGCAUUGCUCAAACUACCCUGGUCCCCAUGGUGCCGAAAAGUGCAGUUGUUGUGCAACCUAGGAAAGGUAGUAAAAUGAAACCACGACCAACGCAUGAAUAUAGGGCUUCGAAGAGGCAGAGAAGAUCAAGCUCAGGCCAUGACGGGGCUUCAUUGCCAGAAACCCACAAUUGCCCUGCUCAGGUGCAGAGACACGUUACCCCAGUCUGCAAGAACAAGAAGGAGCCAUCAGAAACAACGAAUGAUCAGGUCCGCACUUCAAAGGUCACAAUUGCUGUAGAGAGUACAACAGCCAUGCAGCCAAAAAUAUGUAAAAAGGUCAGGCCACAAACCAACCGGAACAUUAUGGCUAUCGAAAGGCAAAGGACAGCUAUCGGAGCCAGCUCAGCA